rnacentral:rRNA from 1 species
ACCUGCCUUCGAGCGGGGGAUAACGUCCCGAAAGGGACGCUAAUACCGCAUAACAUCCUGCCUUUGAAGAGGUGGAGAUCAAAGCCGGGGAUUCGCAAGAACCUGGCACUUGAAGAGGGGCCCGCGCCUGAUUAGCUAGUUGGUGAGGUAAUGGCUCACCAAGGCAACGAUCAGUAUCCGGCCUGAGAGGGCGGACGGACACACUGGGACUGAGACACGGCCCAG